ACUGCUGCUUUUACCGUGACUGCAUCAAAAUGAACAGUUUUCACUUAAAAACGAGUCAUCAUAACACAACAUCACACUUAUGCAAACUCUGGAAUUAAUCUGUGCCUCAGUUCUUAACGUUAGCACCUAUAUUCCAUUCAAGCAUACACUGGAGAUGUUUCAA